rnacentral:lncRNA from 1 species
CUUGAACCCACUGAAGUCGGGGAUUUACGAGUUCCGAGUUGUUUUGAACGCGGCAUAACUCAUCCAGAAUGUGUUUGGAAAUAGGCAAAAAAUAGCACUUCUGUAGCCAAAUGUCUUUUUCAUAAAUGUUUGUUUUUAAGCAUUAAAUGACCUGGUAUGAUGGUGCAUUGAUCAGUUAGUUAUACAGUUUAAAGACGUUAUUUUUACCGAAAGCUAACCUUUAAGAUAACUAGGUGAUAAAACCACAUAUCAUAGUUAUUACAUUAGUACAUUGUUCCUCAAUAAAGAAGUUAAUGCUAGUAGGCAAAAAAAUGUGCACACGUAUUUAUUUAUUAUACAUACAUCUUAAGCGUAUGUAUUAUCAUACAUCUUAAGUGUAUCAAGCCCCAGCAUGUUCAAUUCACUGUAGGAGCCUUGCUGCUGCAUCAGGAUCAUGCCUCCAUCCCAUAGUGUGAGAAAGGGAAUCUUAGAUGCAAUGGGCUUUGCUGCCACCUAGUGAACAGAUGGAGCUCUCCAGCUCCCUGUUGUGCUGAAAUCUACAGAAAGACGUCUUGCUCCCAGACAAGUUAAACAACUUCUUUGCUCGCUUUGAGGACAAUACAGUACCACUGACACCGCCACUACCAAAGCCUGUGGUGUCUCCUUCACCGUGGCCAACAUGCACAAUCGAGAGCAUCCUGUUGGGCUGUAUCACCAGCUGGUACGGCAACUGCUCCGCCCACAACCACACGGCUCUCCAGAGGGUAGUGAGGUCUGCACACCGCAUCACCGGGGGCAAACUACCUGCCCUCCAGGACACCUACAGUGCCCAAUGUCAGAGGAAGGCCAAAAAGAUCAUCAAGGACAACAACUACCCGAGCCACUGCCUGUUCACGCCGCUACCAUCCAGAAGGUAAGGUCAGGACAGGUGCAUCAAAGCUGGGAUCAAGAGACUGAAAAACAGCUUCUAUCUCAAAGCCAUCGGACUGUUAAACAGCCAUAACUUACAAAGAGGGGGUGCUGCCAACUUACAGACUCAAAUCUCUGGCCACUUCAAUACAUUUAAUAAAAGGUAUCACUAGUCACUUUAAAUAAUGCCACCUUAAUAAUGUCUACAUAUCCUACAUUACUCAUCUCAUGUGUCAGAAGUUGACAUACACCUUAGCCAAAUACAUUUAAAACUCAGUUUUUCACAAUUCCUGACAUUUAAUCCUAGUAACAAUUCCCUGUCUUAGGUCAGUUAGGAUCACCACUUUAUUUUAAGAAUGUGAAAUGUCAGAAAAAUAGUAGAGAAUGAUUUAUUUCAGCUUUUAUUUCUUUCAUCACAUUCCCAGUGGGUCAGAAGUUUACAUACACUCAAUUAGUAUUUGGUAUCAUUGUCUUUAAAUUGUUGAACUUGGGUCAAACGUUUUGGGUAGCCUUCCACAAGCUUCCCACAACAAGUUGGGUGAAUUUUGGCCCAUUCCUCCUGACAGAGCUGGUGUAACUGAGUCAGGUUUGUAGGCCUCCUUGCUCACACACACUUUUUCAGUUCUGCCCACAAAUUUUCGAAAGGAUUGAGGUCAAGGCUCUGUGAUGGCCACUCCAAUAACCUUAACUUUGUUGUCCUUAAGCCAUUUUUUCCACAAUUUUGGAAGUUUGCUUGGGGUCAUUGUCCAUUUGGAAGACCCAUUUGCGACCAAGCUUUAACUUCCUGACAGAUGUCUUGAGAUGUUGCUUCAAUAUAUCCACAUAAUUUGCCUGCCUCAUGAUGCCAUCUAUUUUGUGAAGUGCAUCAGUCCCUCCUGCAGCAAAGCACCCCCACAACAUGAUGCUGCCACCCUCGUGCUUCACGGUUGGGAUGGUGUUCGUCGGCUUACAAGCCUCCCCCUUUUUCCUCCAAAUAUAACGAUGGUCAUUAUGGCCAAACAGUUAUAUUUUUGUUUCAUCAGACCAGAGGACAUUUCUCCAAAAAGUACAAUCUUUGUCCCCAUGUGCAGUUGCAUAUCAUAGUCUGGCUUUUUAUGGCGUUUUUUGGAGCAGUGGCUUCUUCCUUGCUGAGCAGCCUUUCAGGUUAUGUCGAUAUAGGAUUUGUUUUACUGUGGAUAUAGAUAAUUUUGUACCUGUUUCCUCCAGCAUCUUCACAAGGUCCUUUGCUGUUGUUCUGGGAUUGAUUUGCACUUUUCGCACCAAAGUACAUUCAUCUCUAGGAGACAGAACACGUCUCCUUCCUGAGCGGUAUGACGGCUGCAUGGUCCCAUGGUGUUUAUACUUGCGUACUACUGCUUGUACAGAUGAACGUGGUACCUUCAGGUGUUUGGAAAUUGC